AGGAAACAGAACCAGAGCCUCAGCUGGGCCCUUCUUGCGCUACACGUCAGUGUAUCUUGCAGGGCCAACUGGACAGAUGUGAGUCUCCUGCAACCCCUCAGCAUUGAAGGCCACAGGAAAACCUCUUUUUUCACUGAAGUUCUCCAAAAUACAAGCUGCUGCAGUAAAGACACCCAUGCCACACAGGAGGUCAAAAAGGUCGAGUGCAUCAGAGCCCAUCGAACAACAGACCGCAGACAGUGGCAGCGCUCAGCCUGCUGCUUGGCGACGACAGGCUGAACAAAGAGACUCCACCCCUCUGAAGCCUGGAAGCAACAGCCAGUGACCAGCUGAGAAAGGCCCCCAAAGCAAGAACUGAGUAAACAGCUGUGAAAAUCAGCCCCAUCUGAAAUAUGUCUCA